GAUGAAGAACGCAGCGAAAUGCGAUAAGUAGUGUGAAUUGCAGAAUUCAGUGAAUCAUCGAAUCUUUGAACGCACAUUGCGCCCUUGGUAUUCCUUAGGGCAUGCCUGUUCGAGCGUCAUUUAAACCUUCAAGCUAAGCUUGGUGUUGGGUGACUGUCCGCUUCACGGCGGACUCGCCUCAAAAUUAUUGGCGGCCGGUACAUUGGCUUCGAGCGCAGCAGAAACGCGAACUCGGGCCCGUCGUAUUGGCUCCCAGAAGCUAUCUUCACAAUUUUGACCUCGGAUCAGGUAGGGAUACCCGCUGAACUUAAGCAUAUCAAUAAGCGGAGGA
rnacentral:misc_RNA from 1 species